rfam:Bacillus bataviensis LMG 21833 contig118, whole genome shotgun sequence.
UAAGCCUUUAAUUCAGCCCCGUGAGGCUGAGAAGGAACGGUUAAAAGAUACGGCUGUUUAUGCCUUUAUCUUGUAGUAUAACUUAUCCUCCUCUCACCGACCGGCGAGAGGUUUUUUAUU